UGAGGAAUAUUGGUCAAUGGUCGCUAGACUGAGCCAGCCAAGUAGCGUGCGGGAUGAAGGCCCUCCGGGUCGUAAACCGCUUUUAGACGGGGAUAAAAGGGCGUACGUGUACGCCGUAUUGCAUGUACCGUCAGAAAAAGGACCGGCUAAUUCCGUGCCAGCAGCCGCGGUAAUACGGAAGGUCCGGGCGUUAUCUGGAUUUAUUGGGUUUAAAGGGAGCGUAGGCGGACUUUCAAGUCAGUGGUAAAAUCGUGUGGCUCAACCAUACCUCGCCAUUGAAACUGGAAGUCUGGAGUGCACACAGGGGUGCCGGAAUUCAUGGUGUAGCGGUGAAAUGCUUAGAUAUCAUGAAGAACUCCGAUCGCGAAGGCAAGUGCCCGGGGUGCAACUGACGCUGAGGCUCGAAGGUGCGGGUAUCGAACAGGAUUAGAUACC
rnacentral:rRNA from 1 species